rnacentral:tRNA from 1 species
GGGGAUUUAGCUCAGUGGCAUAAGCACCUGCCUUGCAAGCAGGAGGUCAUGAGUUCAAUCCCCA